GACUCAUGAUUUGAUCCCAUGCUGAAUUUUUUUAAAAUGAACUCUAAGCGGCAUGCCCUUCCCCAAAUGCAUCUGCCAACUGCCCCGCCCACUCGGUGAUUGACAGUUGUCAAUCGGCACAAGACCCCUCCCGUCCCCUGUUGCCAAUCACAUAAAAAAAAAAAAACAAAACAACUAACGACAGCCCCUCGCCGCCUCCUUCCAUUUGAGGUCUCCUCACACACCGCUAUGGAUUGCGGCGCUUACGAGAUGGACCCCCUGGAGGUCCCCCCUCUCACCCCGACCAGCAAGGAGGUUCUGUGCCAGGCUCUGAGAGCCAGUUUUGCCGGUUUCACCCAGGAGAGGCUCACUCACCGUUUCCCCCAAGAUCCGACUCGAUGGUCCGAAUGGGAGGUGAACCACUGGCUGGGCUGGUGCCGGG